rnacentral:rRNA from 1 species
UGGGGAAUAUUGGACAAUGGGCGCAAGCCUGAUCCAGCCAUGCCGCGUGAGUGAUGAAGGCCCUAGGGUUGUAAAGCUCUUUCACCGGUGAAGAUAAUGACGGUAACCGGAGAAGAAGCCCGGCUAACUUCGUGCCAGCAGCCGCGGUAAUACGAAGGGGGCUAGCGUUGUUCGGAUUUACUGGGCGUAAAGCGCACGUAGGCGGACUUUUAAGUCAGGGGUGAAAUCCCGGGGCUCAACCCCGGAACUGCCUUUGAUACUGGAAGUCUUGAGUAUGGUAGAGGUGAGUGGAAUUCCGAGUGUAGAGGUGAAAUUCGUAGAUAUUCGGAGGAACACCAGUGGCGAAGGCGGCUCACUGGACCAUUACUGACGCUGAGGUGCGAAAGCGUGGGGAGCAAACAGG